GAUCGCUCUCAGCAACUUGGACGCCGGCGACGAUGAAACCCUAGACAGUACUGACCUUCUGAACAAAAUCGUCGCCAUUGUUGUGUGCAAGAGAGAAUAUGAAAAGAAGGGACGCUGCUAAGGGUGGGGGAGCAAGGGAU